UGGGGAAUCUUAGACAAUGGGGGAAACCCUGAUCUAGCCAUGCCGCGUGAUCGAUGAAGGCCUUAGGGUUGUAAAGAUCUUUCAGAUGGGAAGAUAAUGACGGUACCAUCAGAAGAAGCCCCGGCUAACUCCGUGCCAGCAGCCGCGGUAAUACGGAGGGGGCUAGCGUUAUUCGGAAUUACUGGGCGUAAAGCGCACGUAGGCGGAUUAGAAAGUCAGAGGUGAAAUCCCAGGGCUCAACCUUGGAACUGCCUUUGAAACUCCUAGUCUUGAGGUCGAGAGAGGUGAGUGGAAUUCCGAGUGUAGAGGUGAAAUUCGUAGAUAUUCGGAGGAACACCAGUGGCGAAGGCGGCUCACUGGCUCGAUACUGACGCUGAGGUGCGAAAGCGCGGGGAGCAAACAGGAUUAGAUACCCUGGUAGUCCACGCCGUAAACGAUGAAUGCCAGUCGUCGGGUAGCAUGCUAUUCGGUGACACACCUAACGGAUUAAGCAUUCCGCCUGGGGAGUACGGUCGCAAGAUUA
rnacentral:rRNA from 1 species